rnacentral:rRNA from 1 species
GACGAACGCUGGCGGCGUGCCUAAUACAUGCAAGUCGAACGAAGCUUUUUUAACUGGUGCUUGCACCGACUUAAACAACUGAGUGGCGAACGGGUGAGUAACACGUGGGUAACCUGCCCCAAAGCGGGGGAUAACAUUUGGAAACAGAUGCUAAUACCGCAUAACCACAGAAACCACAUGGUUUCUGUGUAAAAGAUGGGUUCGGCUAUAACUUUGGGAUGGAACCGCGGCGUAUUAGCUAGUUGGUAAGGUACUGGCUUACCAAGGAAAGGAUACGUAGCCGAACUGAGAGGUUGAUCGGCCACAUUGGGACUGAGACACGGCCCAAACUCCUACGGGAGGCAGCAGUAGGGAAUCUUCCACAAUGGACGAAAGUCUGAUGGAGCAACGCCACGUGAGUGAAGAAGGUUUUCGGAUCGUAAAACUCUGUUGUCAGAGAAGAACGUGUGCGAGAGUAACUGUUCGUGCAGUGACGGUAUCUGGCCAGAAAGCCACGGCUAACUACGUGCCAGCCGCCGCCGUAA